CAGUGGGGAAUAUUGCACAAUGGGCGCAAGCCUGAUGCAGCCAUGCCGCGUGUAUGAAGAAGGCCUUCGGGUUGUAAAGUACUUUCAGCAGUGAGGAAGGUGGGUAUGUUAAUAGCAUACUCAUUUGACGUUAGCUGCAGAAGAAGCACCGGCUAACUCCGUGCCAGCAGCCGCGGUAAUACGGAGGGUGCGAGCGUUAAUCGGAAUUACUGGGCGUAAAGCGCAUGCAGGUGGUUUGUUAAGUCAGAUGUGAAAGCCCGGGGCUCAACCUCGGAAUUGCAUUUGAAACUGGCAAACUAGAGUACUGUAGAGGGGGUAGAAUUUCAGGUGUAGCGGUGAAAUGCGUAGAGAUCUGAAGGAAUACCGGUGGCGAAGGCGGCCCCCUGGACAGAUACUGACACUCAGAUGCGAAAGCGUGGGGAGCAAACAGGAUUAGAUACCCUGAUAG
rnacentral:rRNA from 1 species